rnacentral:rRNA from 1 species
GAGCGGAUGACAGGAGCUUGCUCCUUGAUUCAGCGGCGGACGGGUGAGUAAUACCUAGGAAUCUGCCUGGUAGUGGGGGACAACGUUUCGAAAGGAACGCUAAUACCGCAUACGUCCUACGGGAGAAAGCAGGGGACCUUCGGGCCUUGCGCUAUCAGAUGAGCCUAGGUCGGAUUAGCUAGUUGGUGGGGUAAUGGCUCACCAAGGCGACGAUCCGUAACUGGUCUGAGAGGAUGAUCAGUCACACUGGAACUGAGACACGGUCCAGACUCCCACGGGAGGCAGCAGUGGGGAAUAUUGGACAAUGGGCGAAAGCCUGAUCCAGCCAUGCCGCGUGUGUGAAGAAGGUCUUCGGAUUGUAAAGCACUUUAAGUUGGGAGGAAGGGCAGUAAGUUAAUACCUUGCUGUUUUGACGUUACCGACAGAAUAAGCACCGGCUAACUCUGUG